rnacentral:misc_RNA from 1 species
GGUUUAUCACACUAUAACAAUAGGCGCUUGGCGCUUGUGAGCGAAAGAGACGGCUGCGCAGAAUUUGACCUUACCUCUAUGUGGCUUGAUGCGUGGUAAUAUAUACUAUCUUUUUAUUAUUUAUCACAAAAUGUAUUAAAAAUAAUUACAUAUUUUAAUUUUUUUUAUUCCUUAAUGACGUAAGUUUACUUUGAUGAAGAUAGUUCGUUAAAUUUUCAUAUUUUCUAAGAAAAAUAUCGCUUUUAAAAUUAUACUUAUUUGGAAAAUAUUCGUAACUUUAAUUUUUUUUUAUCGAUUAAUAGAGAUACAAAUGGAAUAAAACUCUGUUCUAUUAUUCAACAAAAUUAUAUUCCACAUAUUACGUAUUUUUUUAAAAAUGGUUUCAACGUAGAGGUUUUUGAAAAGUAGGA